GAUGAAGAACGCAGCGAAAUGCGAUAAGUAAUGUGAAUUGCAGAAUUCAGUGAAUCAUCGAAUCUUUGAACGCACAUUGCGCCCCCUGGUAUUCCGGGGGGCAUGCCUGUUCGAGCGUCAUUUCACCACUCAAGCCUCGCUUGGUAUUGGGCAUCGCGGUCCGCCGCGCGCCUCAAAUCGACCGGCUGGGUCUUCUGUCCCCUAAGCGUUGUGGAAACUAUUCGCUAAAGGGUGUUCGGGAGGCUACGCCGUAAAACAACCCCAUUUCUAAGGUUGACCUCGGAUCAGGUAGGGAUACCCGCUGAACUUAAGCAUAUCAAGCGGAGGA
rnacentral:misc_RNA from 1 species